CUGCUGUGCUGAGAGCUCUCAGUAUUAGUCUGGAGCUUCCUGCACCCUGCAUCCUUCCUGCCUGGCAUGCCAGCACUGGAUACAUUGUAACCCUCCACCCCCCCAUCCUUCCAUGGUAGCUCCCCUGGAUACAUUGUAAUAGUACCUCCAUGUGAUUGGAUUCACUGGAAGAGCUCACCAGGUGGGGGGUCCACAACAGGACCACUUUCAAAGUGUUCAUUGCUGGCUGUGACUUUGCUGAUCUGCACCUCCUGAGCCCCUGCAGGGGGAGGGACCCUGUGACUUUGGAUUUAAGGGACAGGAAGAUAGCCCUGGGCUCCUGGAAACUUGCUGGGUUCCUGCAGUGUGGAUGGUGAGUCUCCAAUCUAUAGCACUGCUAGCUGAGCAGGUAUCUAGUGACAGCUCACACAGCAUGCUGGGACAGCUUGACACCCAGCAACUGCAUUCACUGGCUGAGGGUAAUGGGAGAUGGAGUUCUGAACCUCACUGUGUGCCAAGCUGAUCCAGCAGUGCCAGACAGG